rnacentral:rRNA from 1 species
UACGUAGGGUGCGAGCGUUGUCCGGAAUUACUGGGCGUAAAGAGCUCGUAGGCGGCUUGUCGCGUCGACUGUGAAAACCCGUGGCUCAACCAUGCGGUCUGCAGUCGAUACGGGCAGGCUAGAAUUCGGUAGGGGAGACUGGAAAUUCCUGGUGUAGCGGUGAAAUGCGCAGAUAUCAGGAGGAACACCGGUGGCGAAGGCGGCAUCCUGGACCGACACUGACGUGAGGAGCGAAAGCCAGGGGAGCAAACGGG